CUUUCUGUACGGUUAAUCGGGGUAACUUUGACAGAUCAUUACUAUAUUUUUUUAGCUAACUUUGACAAUGUUAAAUAUGAGACACAAGAGUUAAUUUACUAUGUGCUCUCAGGUUGGUUUUCA